AACGAGUUAAUUAGCAAAGUAAAAUCUAACAUCUGUUCCAACUUUGAUGGCAUUUCCUCAAAGGCAGCUGAUGCUGCCUCAUAGUUUUUAGGCCAAGCCCUCAACUCCCUUGCUUUGCAGCUUGAAAGAUUUGACUGGGUGUCCUCUGGUUCGGAUAAACUGUCACAGACCCUUCUGACAAAUACUGAAGAAAAGAUUCCGCAGCCGGUGAUGCGUCUUCCUAAACCUUGGUAGGCGGGUUGGACGCACUAUUCCAUUGCUUUACAUGUUCAGCUAUCGACCCGAGUUUUCAGUCACAGUUCCUGAUACCGUGGUAGCUUCAUUCUGCAGUUUCAUCAUGAAGUUGAAGGUUCAGAGUGAGAGGGAGAUUAAUCGAUGAGCUGUCUUUCAUGGGUCACCCUUCUCCUCUCCAGGCUUCGGGACUCGGAUAGGGAUCCCCUUCACCGAUGACAUCGAUAUGAUCAUUCUUGUACCGGUGAAUUGCGCUGUAGAGAUUGUUGUACAGAACAUGACAAUACAUAGGUAGUAGAAUCUGAACUUGAGUUCCUCUAUUUAGUUGUCUUUUUCUGCAAGUAGUUUCACUAACCAACACAAAGCGUCAAAGCCCAUUCUCUUACAGGACACUACACUUUUCCAUUGUGUCUGCACUGAAUGUAAACCGAGCUGAUAAAAUGUCAUUUCAUUGUUC